rnacentral:lncRNA from 1 species
UGGAAAGAAGUAAAACUGUUACUAUUUGCAGAUGAUGUGAUACUGUACAUAGAAAAUCCUAAAAACAGGACCAGAAAACUACUAGAGCUCAUCAGUAAAGUUUGAGGAUACAAACAACAUACAGAAACCUGUUGGAUUUCUACACAUGAACAAAAUGUCAGAAAGAUAUCAAGGAGACCGCCCCAAUUACCAUCACAUGAGAAAGAGUAAAAAACCUAGGAAUAGGCAUUCCCAUUGUGGCUCAGCGGAAAGGAAUCUGACUAGUAUUCAUGAGGAUACAGGUUCAAUCCCUGGUCUCACUCAGUGGAUUGAGGAUCCAGCGUUGCCAUGAGCUGUGGUGUAGGUCGCAGACAUGACUCAGAUCUGGUGGUGUUGGGGCUGUGGUGUAGGCCAGCAGCUACAGUUUGAAUUCAACCGUGAGCCUAGGAACCUCCAUGGGCUGAGGGUGCAGCCCUAAAAACAAACAAACAAACAAACAAAGUGGUGCUGGGAAAACUGGACAGCUACAUGUAAGAGAAUGAAAUUAGAACACUCCCUAACACCAUAUACAAAAAUAAACUCAAAAUGGAUUACAGACCUAAAUGUAAGACGAUGCUAUAAAACUCCUGGAGGAAAACAGAGGCAGAACAUCCUCUGACAUAAAUCACAGCAAUAUUUUUUUUGGAUCUGUAUCCUAGAAUAAUAAACACAUGAGGAGUUCCCGUCGUGGCUCAGUGGUUAAUGAAUCCAACUAGGAACCAUGAGCUGUGGUGUAGGUCCACUAAUGUGGCUUGGAUCUGACGUUGCUGUGGCUGUGGGGUAGGCCCGCAGCUACAGCUCCAAUUCAACCCCUAGCCUGGGAACCUCCAUAUGCUGUGGGUGCGGCCCUAAAAAGAGAAAAAUAAAAUUUCAGUGAUCCAAAGUAGAAUAAAAGAGGAAAAAACGUGUAGUCAAACUGCUGAAAACCAAAGGAAAAAGUCUUAAAAGCAGCCAAGAAAAAGAAAACUACCAAACUAGAAUUCUGUGCCCUUCAAAAAUGAAAUUAAAGACAAGGGAGAGAUGGAGUCGAAAGAAAAUGGACAGCAAGAUGGUAGACAGAAGCUCAGCUGUAUUAAGAAUCACAAUACACACUCUACUUAAAAAAGACUGUUGAGACUGGAUACAAAACCAAAACUAAACCACUCGAUACUUACAAGUCUCACUUUAAUUAUAUAAAUAUACAGAAAGAGUGAAGAUAAAAGAUGGAAAAGUUAUACAAUACAAAUGAUAACCCAAAGAAUGUUGGUGUAUUUCCAUCAACAUCAGACAAAGUAAACCUUAAGGCAGUAAGUGUUACUCAAAGUUAAAACAUUUCUCAAUAAGAGGGUCAGUUAUAGGAGUUCCCGUUGUGGCUCAGCAGUAACAAACCCGAGUAGUAUCCAUGAGGAUGUGAGUUCGAUCCCUAGCCCCACUCAGUGGGUUAAGGAUCCGGCAUUGCCAUGAGCUGUAGUGUAGGUCACGGAUGCAGCUCAGAUCUUGUGUUGUUGUGGCUGUGGUGUAGACCGGUAGCUGUAGCUCUGAUUGGACCCCUAGCCUGGCAACUUCUAUAUGCCCUAAUGCAUCACUGCAUCAUGUGCGAGUGUGGCCCUAAAAAAAAAAAAAGAGAGUUGACAAGAAGGGAUUCCAGACAAGAUGGUGGAGCAGGACUUGAGUUCACCUCCUUUCAUGAAACACCAAAAUCACAACAAACUAGAGGAGUUCCCGCUGUGGCAUGGUGGAAAUGAACCUGACUAGUACCCAUUAGGAUGUGGGUUGGAUCCCUGACCCCAUUCAAUGGGUUAAGGAUCUGGCAUUGCCAUGAGCUGUGGUGUCAGCUGCAGAUGUGGCAUUUCUGUGGCUGCGGUAUAGGCUGGUAGAGCUCUGAUUCAACCCCUAGCCUGGGAACUUCCAUAUGCGCGGUGCAGCCCUAAAAAGCAAAAACAAACAAACAAAAAACUUAUUUCUGAACAGCCAUCAACAAGAUAGACCACAAAAAAGAUGUCCUAUUCCUAAAGACAAAGAAACCACAACGAGAUGGUAGGGAGGGCACUUUCAUGAUAAAAGCAAUCCUAGGAGUUCCAAUCUGUGGCGCAAUGGAUUAAGACUCCCACUGUCGCAGCUUGGAUGGCUGCUGAAGCACAGGUUCAGUCCCCAGCCCAGCAAAGUGGGUUAAAGAUAUGGCACUUCCACAUGUGGCUAAGAUUCGAUCCCUGGUCUGGGAACUUCCAUAUGCUGUGGGUGUGACCAUUAAAAAGACAAAAAAAGCAAUCCCAUACCUGGUGAGUGGGCAACCCCAUAGACUGGAAAAUAACCAUAUCACAGAGGCUCUCCCACAGGAGUGAGAGUUCCAAACCCACAUCAGGAUCCCCAGCCUGGGUAUCUGGCUUUGGGAGGAAGCAUCGAGCAUUUGGCUUUGAAUGUCAGUGGGACUUGAGUGCAGGAGCUCCACAGGACCGGGGAAAACAGACACCACUGUGGGAGGGUGCUCACAGGCUUUCAUGUGCAUUGGGACCUAAGGCAAAGCAGAGACUCCAUAAGAAUCUGGGUCAGACCUGCCUGUGGUUCUUGGAAGAUCUCCUGGGGAGGGAGGGGUUGGCUGCGUUUCACUGUGGAGGCAGGACACUGGAGGUAGAGGCCCCAGAGAAUGUGAGCUCCCCUGGAGGAUGCCAUUUUAGAAAAAUCUGGCACAGCUGCAGGCAUAGCCCCCAGGCCAAACCACAAACAGGGCAGGAACACAGCCCCACCCAUCAGCCAACAGGCCACCUCUAAUCACAGCCUGGGACACAGCCCCACCCACCAGGACAAGACUCAGCUCCACCCACCAGUGGGCAGGCACAAGUCCCUCCCAUCAGGAAGCCUGUAGCAAGCCCCAGAACCAACCUCAGCCACAAGGGGGGCAGAGAGCAGAAGCAAGAGAGGCUACAACCCUACAGCCUACAGAAAAGAGACCACAAGCACAGAAACCUAGACAAAAUGAAAUAGCAGAGAAACACACUCCAGAUGAAGAAACAAAACAAAACCCCAGAACAGCUAGGUGAAGUGGACAUAAACAACCUACAUGAAAAAGACUUUAUUUUUAUUUUUUGCUUUUUAGGGUCAAAUCCCCGGCAUAUGGAAGUUCCCAGGCUAGGAGUUGAACUGGAGCUACAGCUGCUGGCCUACACCACAGCUACAGCAACACCAGAUCCUUAACCCACUGAGCGAGGCCAGGGAUUGAACCCACAUUCUCAUGGAUCCUAGUCAGGUUUGUUGCCACUGAACCACAAUGGGAACUCCGAAAGACUUUAGAGUAAUGAUAGUAAGAAGGAUCCAAGAUCUCAAAAAAAAAAAAAAAAAAAAAAAAAAACAAAAA